rnacentral:rRNA from 1 species
GGGCAGGGCGCAGCUACCAUGCAGUCGAGCGAGAACUUCGGUUCUAGCGGCGGACGGGUUAGUAACGCGUGGGAACGUGCCCUUCACUACGGAAUAGUCCCGGGAAACUGGGUUUAAUACCGUAUACGCCCUUCGGGGGAAAGAAUUUCGGUGAAGGAUCGGCCCGCGUUAGAUUAGAUAGUUGGUGGGGUAACGGCCUACCAAGUCUACGAUCUAUAGCUGGUUUUAGAGGAUGAUCAGCAACACUGGGACUGAGACACGGCCCAGACUCCUACGGGAGGCAGCAGUGGGGAAUCUUAGACAAUGGGCGCAAGCCUGAUCUAGCCAUGCCGCGUGAGUGAUGAAGGCCUUAGGGUCGUAAAGCUCUUUCGCCAGGGAUGAUAAUGACAGUACCUGGUAAAGAAACCCCGGCUAACUCCGUGCCAGCAGCCGCGGUAAUACGGAGGGGGUUAGCGUUGUUCGGAAUUACUGGGCGUAAAGCGCGCGUAGGCGGAUUGGAAAGUUGGGGGUGAAAUCCCAGGGCUCAACCCUGGAACUGCCUCCAAAACUAUCAGUCUAGAGUUCGAGAGAGGUGAGUGGAACUCCGAGUGUAGAGGUGAAAUUCGUAGAUAUUCGGAAGAACACCAGUGGCGAAGGCGGCUCACUGGCUCGAUACUGACGCUGAGGUGCGAAAGUGUGGGGAGCAAACAGGAUUAGAUACCCUGGUAGUC